CAAGCUGUUUGGGUCUCUAGCAAACCGGGGCGGAGGGGCCUACAAGGACCUCAGUCUCUCACUCGCUUAACAAAGGACAGCAACCACCCACAAGACACCGAGCAAACCUUUCUCCGUCCGGGCAUGAGAGAAGUCCACAACUAAACAAGAGAGCAACAGAGCUGGCUCCCGGAGCAAGCAGGAACUGCAAGAAUCGCGGGCACCUUUCCUCCGCUGCCUUUCCCUCCAAGCUGCCCCCGGACGGGUGCCCUCCCUCCCUCAUUGCCUCCUUCGCAGGGGCCUCUCCCGGGCUGCUGAACACAAUGGAACCGGCUGCGAGGCAGCGCGCGAAGCUAGGAGCCUCCAGGAAUCCGAGGUCGCCUGGGGGAGGGGGUCAUCCUUGAGACCCGCAGUCCCGAGCGCCAUCGCGGCGUUUCCCCUCCGAGUCCCCAUUGGGCACGAGCUGAGGAUGGGAGCCGAGCUCCUCACAGUCCCUCUCCGACCCGCUCUCGGAAACUCUGCCCGAGCCCGGAUCUUCCAGCAGCCACGACAGCUCUGGUUUAUCCACACUCCUCUUUGUUGUCCCCGGUCCCCGCACUCCGUCAAGAGCCGGCCAAUAGCCUGGAGUCCCGCCGCCGCCUGCUAGCCUCGCCGGAACCCAGGGACCUCCACCCCCUCCACAGGAUGGAAGGAGCACCCCAGCAGAGCAAUGCCGCACGGAGCAGGCCACCACGGCGGGAAAAAGUUUGCACGCUCUAGCGGGCUCUCCUAGACCCCAGAAUCGCCCAGUGACCGGGACUCAAACCACCUUGCAGCCCCUCCAGUUCCCGGAAGGCAAUCUAGGCUCCCGCCACCUGCUGUGGAGGCAGUAGGAGGCGCUGGGCGACCUCCUCCACUCCCCCCAUCCCUGCUCUGGGUGUUCUAGAAGAGGGUGCGCUCAGCGGGGUUCGCACUCAGAACUACUCACCACUCUGCUCCAUCUCCCACCCCUCGGUGCCCUCCAGGCCCAGGCCACCCGGAUAGUUCCCACUGCCUGGUUCAUGAAUUAUUUAAAGUCCGGUCUCGGGGCACCACCAGGGUUGCUGGGUGAGAGACCGUCCCGCUGCCCCGCCCCGGUUGGCUAGGGACUCAAGAGGCAGGAGGACUACGGGACCCCAGGACUCUUGAGAACCUGUUGCGUCCUCCUGGGUGCCCCUGCGGACAUCUAGGAAUGGAACUAAGAGAAAAUAUCGACACCUUCAGAAACAAUACUUACCCAUGGUUGAGCUCUAGGCCAGGUGACAGGGUCUCUACCAGGCUCAGUAAUUUAAAGAGCACUAAGCCUAGGGCUCUGGGAGCUCUCUGAUUGGAUAUUCUGAGCGGCUCGGCCACAAUGCCCUGGGGACACCCACAGGACAGCAGUUAUUUCCUGCUGAAAGCCCUACUGAGCACCAGAACAGACUUCUGUGUCACCUAAUCCUAAAUCGCUCCUUGGAAGGAGACUAAUUCCUAAAGUCUUUUGCUUCCACGCUCUUUUCUUGGCCUUUUUAGACAAGGUUACUGGAGCCCAGUGCAUUUUAUUAAAAACAAAAACUAAAG